AAUGGCUUCCCAGCAAUCCUCCCUAUUUGAUCCUCCCUAUGGGAAGUGAAUCUGAUCAGGGCCUUCCUGAAUUCUCCUCCUCUUCUGUCUUCCAGGCUCCUCAAAAGAACUCACAGAAACACAGAAAGGCCCAGGGGGAGUCUUUUGCUGCUGGAAACAACUCUGCCUGGGACCCAGAAUCCAGAAAUGAACUGAGUCCUUCAUGACACCAGCUCCUUCCCAGAGGAGUUAGAUGUCCUCAGCACAGAAGCAGCAUCAGGUAUGGAGAAAAUGAUGGACUGACAAUUCCUUACACACAAGUGGAGAUUGACAAGGCAUGGACCAUUUCUUCAUCUGUUUGGUGGACUUACCAUGAACGCUUUCCUGGGUUUUGUUUUUGUGAUCAUGGAAGGGUAUGAAAUACAAAGGUCCUUUGUUGAUUUUGAAGGUGACUCUGGCUUUAGCUCUAGAGUCACACAAACUUACAUUUGAGCCCCGCCCCUCUGCCACUUACUUGCUUUGUGACCUUGGGCAAGUCUGUUCGUAUUUCUAAACUUCAGUGUUCUCAAAAAAUGUAUAUAAAUAGUAUUACCUGAGUAGCCCAUGGGAAGUUUAAGUUCUAUGAUGCAAAUAAAGCACUUAGCCAGUGCUUAGAGCACUGUAGGUGAAAUAAUAGUUAGCUUUAACUCUAUAUUAUCAAUAUUGUUCUGUGAUAUAAUUCUUUUUUUAAAAGAUUUUUAAAAAUUUAUUUAUUCAGGAGAGACACAGAGAGAGGCAGAGACAUAGGCAGAGGGAGAAGCAGGCUUCAUGCAGGGAGCUUGACUCAGGACUCGAUUCCGGGACCCCAGGAUCAUGCCUUGGGCCAAAGGCAGAUGUUCAACCACUGAACCACCCAGGGGCCCCAUGUUCUGUGAUAUAAUUAUAGACAUGACAGAAAUCAUUCUGCUUUGACAGGUGAUAAAACGGAGAGUAUUGAACUACUAACAUAUGCUAUAUCAUGGAUAAAUCUCAAAAAUUAUGCCAAGUGAAAGAAGUUAGACAGAAGAGACCACCUAUUGUAUGAUUCUAUGUAUCUAAAAUGACCAGAAAAGGCGAAUUUAUAACAACAGAAAGUAGAUUAGUGGUUGCCAGAAGCUGGAGGUAGGAAAGAUGAGCUGUAAAAGGGCAAAAGGGGUCCAAUGGUAGGGAGGGGGGGAUGAAAAUGAUCUUAGACUGAUUUAUUCUGUGCUUGCUUCAGCAGCACAUAUAUUGAAAUUGGAAUGAUAUGGAGAAGGUUAGCAUUGGCUCCUGCUGAAGGAUGACAUGCAAAUUCAUAAAGUGUUCCAUAUUUUUUAAAAAAAUGAUUUAUUUUCAUGAUCACACCACUUUGUAAAUAACUGAAAAUCGUUGGGUUGUAUACCCCAAAUAAGUGAGUUUUAUGAUAUAUAAAAUAUAUGUGAAUAUGGUUGUUUUAAAAACUCAGAAACUAUCACAGAAGAAGAACAGACUCCAGGUUUUCCGUUAGGUAUUCUUGAGACUAUGGUAC
rnacentral:lncRNA from 1 species